rnacentral:rRNA from 1 species
AGAGUUUGAUCCUGGCUCAGAUUGAACGCUGGCGGCAUGCCUAACACAUGCAAGUCGAACGAGGUGUAGCAAUACACCUAGUGGCGGACGGGUGAGUAAUACGUAGGAAUCUGCCUCAGAGUGGGGGAUAGCCCGGGGAAACUCGGAUUAAUACCGCAUGAUCUCGCAAGAGCAAAGCAGGGGACCGCAAGGCCUUGUGCUCUGAGAGGAGCCUACGUCUGAUUAGCUAGUUGGCGGGGUAAUGGCCCACCAAGGCAACGAUCAGUAACUGGUCUGAGAGGACGAUCAGUCACACCGGAACUGAGACACGGUCCGGACUCCUACGGGAGGCAGCAGUGGGGAAUAUUGGACAAUGGGCGAAAGCCUGAUCCAGCAAUGCCGCGUGUGUGAAGAAGGCCUUCGGGUUGUAAAGCACUUUAGUCAGGGAAGAAAAAGCUCAAGCUAAUAUCUUGAGUGUUGACGGUACCUGAAGAAUAAGCACCGGCUAACUCUGUGCCAGCAGCCGCGGUAAUACAGAGGGUGCGAGCGUUAAUCGGAUUUACUGGGCGUAAAGCGUGUGUAGGUGGCUGUUCAAGUCGGUUGUGAAAUCCCCGGGCUCAACCUGGGAAUUGCUUCCGAGACUGAGCGGCUAGAGUACGGUAGAGGGCGGUGGAAUUUCCGGUGUAGCGGUGAAAUGCGUAGAUAUCGGAAGGAACACCAAUGGCGAAGGCAGCCGCCUGGGCCUGUACUGACACUGAGACACGAAAGCGUGGGGAUCAAACAGGAUUAGAUACCCUGGUAGUCCACGCCGUAAACGAUGAGAACUUGACGUCGGCAUGCUCUGCGUGUCGGUGUCGUAGCUAACGCGAUAAGUUCUCCGCCUGGGGAGUACGGCCGCAAGGUUGAAACUCAAAGGAAUUGACGGGGGCCCGCACAAGCGGUGGAGCAUGUGGUUUAAUUCGA